GAUAGAGUACAGCAGUUGUUUGAAGUAGGUAAGAGUAGGUCUGAAGUAAGUGAGAGUAGGUAAAAGGUUUGUACUAUAAGAUGUAAACUGAAAUUUUUCGCUGAUCUAUUCGCCGAUGCCUUCAGUUUGCAAUCUUCCUUCUAUUUAUAGAGGCUCGGGACUUUCUCAUUUGAAUUUCAUUUCUUCUUCCUUUGAGUUUCAUCUUCUUUUUAUUUGUGGCCGACAUCUUUUUCAAAAGUGAUCGGCUCCUUUCUCAAAAGUCGUUUGGAUCUUGUCCGCAUGGUCCUCCGAAUGGAUCAAAAGUAGAUUCGGAUGAUUAUGCUGACUCG
rnacentral:lncRNA from 1 species